rnacentral:rRNA from 1 species
GAUGAACGCUGGCGGCGUGCCUAAUACAUGCAAGUCGAGCGAACAGAUGAGAAGCUUCCUCCUCUGAUGUUAGCGGCGGACGGGAGAGUAACACGUGGAUAACCUACCUAUAAGACUGGGAUAACUUCGGGAAACCGGCGCUAAUACCGGACAAUAUAUUUAACCGUAUGGACUAAUAGUGAAAGACGGUUUUGCUGUAACUUAUAGCUGGCUCCGCGCUGCAUUAGCUAGUUUGUAAGGUAACGGGUUACCAAGGCAACGAUGCGUAGCCGACCGGGGCGGGGGAUAGGCCGCCCGGGAACUGGGCCGGGGUCCAUGGUCCUACGGGAGGGAGCAGUAGGGAAUGUUACGCAAUGGGCGAAAGCCUUACGCAGCAAGGCCGCGUGAGUGGUAAAGGUCUUGCGAUAGUAAAACUCUGUUAUGAGGGAAAAACAACUGUCUAAGUAACUAUGGACAUAGUGACGGUACCUAAAGAAAAAGCCCCGGCUAACUACGUG